rnacentral:lncRNA from 1 species
UUUUUUUUUGCUUUGUAUUAUUAAACCUUUAAAAGUUUCUUAAAAGCACAUUGACCCAUAUGAAAUGGCUCCUUUUGUAGUUGAAAAGUUAUCAAAUAGAUCUGGGGAUGGAGCUUAGUGGUAGAGUGCUUGCCUAGCAUGUGCAGGGCUGUAGGUUUGAUCCCCAGUAAAACACACACACACACACAGUCAUAGCUACAGAUUUACAUGGCUCAACUUAAUGCUUAUCCUUUCUUCAGCAUAGCAUAUAGCAAGGAGAGUAUGAGGUGGAUUUUAUUGAAUUUAUAGUUAUUAAUUCAGAUAUUUGUUGAGAAUGUAAUAAGUGCACAAUUGUAGGUGAUCCAGUGAAUAAACCAGAUAAAGUCCCCACUUUCUUACAACAUGUAUUCCAUCUGGGACAACUGGACAAAAUGAUACUUUUUUGAGUAAUAAUUUUAUUUGCCAGUGAGGAAUGAUUUGGGGAUAGUAAAUUUUGAAAUUUUGUGAAACAUCUUGAGCAAAGUUUUCAGACUUAGAGUGUUUUAAUGCUUUACUUUUGGGAGGUAAAAAAAAAAAUCUUAUAUAUUUGUUCAUUAGACAAACAAAAUAAAAAGGGCUCUUUAUUUUUAAUUAGGAAUAACAAUCUAGGACAUUUGAAUUUACACAUUUGUUGGAAACAACAAUAUUAGUCAAUUAUUUCAGAGGUGAUGUGUUAAGAUAGUGCUGACAUAGAAGUCAGAGCAUACUCUAAUAAUUCUGGCUCUGCUGAUCACAUCUUCCAGAAAGUGAGCAGGUCUUUGUAAAUUGUGGGUCAGUUUUCUCCACAAAGUGGGAUUAGUAAGUACUCUGCCUAUUUGACAUGGUUGUUUAGAAAAUCAUUUACACUAGCUUUAAUUUGUUCUUACAUGAUAUGGAGAUAAUAGUAUCUACAUCUGGUCAAUAUGAGGAUUUUUGUGAUGUAAUGCACUUAGUGUAAACCAGGCUUAGUGGCACACACCUAUAAUCCCAGUAGGGGAUUGCAAGUUUAAGAGCAGUCUUCUCACUUGUGACAAGUGAGAACUUGUCACAAAAUUAAAAAAAAAAAAAAAAAAGUGGGGGGUAGUGAUGUAGCUCGUAGAGUACCUCUGGGUCCAGGACCCAGUACUGCAAAAUUUAAAAAAAAAUUUUUUUUUUCAAAUACAUUAAUUUGAAAAGAAAGGCUAGGGAUGUAACUCUGUGAUAGAACACCCUGGAUUUAAUCCUAGCACCUGAUUAAAAAAAAAAAAGUGCAGUGCCUAGCAAUAGUAGUGGUCUUAAAUAAGCUAUCACUCACAUACCAUGUUCCUGUUACUAUGCUAAGCACUCAUGUGUAUUACCUGACUUAAACCUCACAACAACCCAAUGAGAUGGAUCCUAUUCUCAUUUUAAAAGUGAAUUGAGGCUAACAAUGAUUUAAGUCAUUUCCUCAAAGUUAUGAUUGCUAACAAAUAGCUGAACCUAGUUUAGAAUCAAAACUUGACUGGCUCCAGAAUCUGAGCUUUUAACCUCUAUAUUCUAAUGUCUAGGUUCACAGUUCAGGGUGGUACAUGUCUCAAAGAAGUCAUGCUGGAAAUUGGAUUAUAAAAUCUAGUAGACUGAUGGAAUGCAAUUUUAACUGAAUUGUAAAUUCACCCAUCAGGCUUCCCACCAACAUUUGUAGAAUUCCCAUGAGAGUACAAAAUUGAGGCUUACAUAUUAUUUGCCUUAACACUUUAAAGUUACAAACCAAGCUAUCUAACUCAACAUAAAUUGUUUUCUUUUUUUAAAAAAGCAUUUAUUUUUCAAUUGUAGGUGGACAUAAUACCUUUAUUUUAUUUUUAGCUGGUGCUGAGGAUCGAACCCAGUGCCUCACUCAAGCUAGACAAGUGCUCCACCCCUGAGCCACAACUCUAUCCCUUAUUUUCUUUUUCUUUUACAUUCUCUUUUUAAAAUGUAUUUCUUACAUACAUGACAAUAGUGGAAUGCAUUACAUUCAUAAUUAUCCAUUCACAGCACAGUUUUUUGUAACUCUAUAAAGUAUGUUCACGCCAAAUUAUGCCAUUAUACAUGAACUCUCUUAUUUAUUUUUUGCAUUACAAUUCAUAAUACACCUUUAUACCACAAUUUAUCAUAUCUCUGUAUAUAAGGUAUGUUGACACCAAUUCACAUCUUCAUACAUGUAUUUUGUAUAACGAUGACCAUCUCCUUCCACCAUCCUUGCUAUUCCCCUUCUCCCUCCUUUUCCCUCCCACCACUAUUCCCUAUCUAGAGGUAAUCUUCCUCCCAUGCUCUUCCUCCCUCCCCACUUUGAGUCACACCUCUUAUAUCAGAGAAAACAUUUGGCAUUUCUUUUUUUGAGAUUGGCUAACUUCACUUAGCAUAAUCUCUAAUGCCAUCCAAUUCCCUGCAAAUGCCAUGAUCUUAUUCUUUUUUAGUGCUGAGUAAUAUUCCAGUGUGUAUAAAUGCCACAUUUUUUUUUUUUUAUCCAUUCCUCCACUGAAGGACAUCUAGGUUGGCUCCACAGUUUAGCUAUUGUGAAUUGUGCUGCUAUAAACAUUGAUGUCCCAGCCCUUAUUUUCUUGACAAAUAUCUUCAUAGUAACCUGGAGUGCUAGGUUUGAAUUUUGAAUUCUCUGAUUUUAUGGGGUUCUAUAACUAAACAUUACAAUACAAAGAGUUAGCUUCUGAUCCACAGGCUGCCUCUUGUCUCCCCAUCCUUUGUUCUGCAUAAUGAGGAGCUGGUGUGUAUGUAUGUGUAUACUUUGGUACCAUGGAUUUUUACCCUGAGGAGAGAGUCACAAAUUACAGCUAAGUCUCUAUAAAGUAUGGGUACAGGACAGAGGUUCCUCUUAGUUACAUCAAAGAGUGGUACUUCCCUAGACAAAAGUUCUUUUUCAAAUUUCAUUUCUGUUCUAAUGGUUUAAGAUGAAAGAGAAUGGGGAAUAGAUUCAAGAAAAAUAGUAACAUUCAAAACUUAAAACAAAAUUUAAAAAGCUUGAUAACUAGAAAGGAAGGAAGCUUCCGUAGUCAAUGUAUAUGAAAAAUACAGAAAAGAAAUUAAUGGCAAAACUUUUAAAUGAAAUGCAAUUAAAAUUGGGAACAAGUCAAAAGAUGCCUACACUUGCCCUUAUCCUCAAUAUUAUUUAGUAGAGGUCUUAGUCAUUAUAAUAAAACAAGGGAGGUAGGGUGGGAUUCUGAACUCACUGAUAAAUCUUGAUAUCUCUAAAAGUGGGACAGUAUGUAUAUGCCUCCUGAUAUGAUGCAAGAAAGUAGCUUUGAUGCAUCAUUGCAAAAACAAAAACUGAAGCAAAAACUAUCCAAGUCUGUAGGUGCAAAUGACAAGGAAAGAAUUAAGCAUCACCAUGAAGAUACAAUCAGCAGAAUGACAAAAUGGGAAAUUCUAUAGGACAAAUGAUUCUGAUUCUUCAACAAAUGGUAUGGAGGGAAGAAAGCAAAAAGGAACUGUCUUAUAAAAUAAAUGCAAUGUGAUGACCUCAUUUGGAUCCUGAUUUAAAAAAAAAUUUUUUUAAGUUGUUGAUAGACCUUUAUUUUAUUUAUUUAUACGUGGUACUGAGAAUCGAACCCAGUGCCUCCUGACGCAUGCCAGGCAAGUGCACUACUGCUCAGCCCCAGCCCCAGCCCCUGGAUCCUGAUUUUUAACAAACGAACUGUUAAUAAGCAUUUUUGAGACAGAAAAUUGAACAUGGAAUAGGUAUUAGAUGAUAUUGUAGAAUUGUUGAUUUUGUUGGGUACUAUUCUUUUGAAAAAUAAGAAAAGGCUUUCUCUCUUUAGAGAUACACAAAAUAAAGUAUUCAUUGAUAAAAUAAAAUGUGUGAGAUUUGUUUUAAAAUUCUCUGCCAAAAAAAGAGAAAAAAAGGCAAAAUGAAAAAUGUAAGGAGGAUAGAUAAAAUAGGGAAUAGUGGAUUGUUCAAACUGGGUGACAGAAACGUGGGGAUUAAUUAUAUUGUCU